UGCAAAUACUGUUUUGAUUAAGUAUGCUUCAUGAGGCAGCACGUUCCAGCAAUUGAGUUUACCCCUACGCUCAUCUUUUGGUCAUUAACACAGGCCUCCAGUGGAGACAAUGCAGUAGAGUUUGCCUUGGGCCAGGAAAGCUGGAAAUUCUGCAGGAAAAUAUGAAAACUCUUUAUCUAAAAUGAUCUCUCUGGGCAAGCCAUAUGGGACAAAUGAAAUCACAAUAUGCCUCAGUAGU